rnacentral:lncRNA from 1 species
GAUUCAUAAUUUACUAACAAAUAUCUAAAUCUAUAUAUAAUAUCAAAGAACUAUAGAUAAAUUGAUAUUUAACAAUGACUCGAUAACUCAAUCAUUUUUUUUAACCAGUUUAAAAAAAAAAAUAAACCAAUUCAACCACGUACUACUCUUAGCAACCAGAAUACAUAUACUAAAUCAUAUGGCUUUUAAGAGCAUAAAAUAUUCGAUUCUCAUCAAACAAAGAGGUGGGUUUAGCACACUCACGAGAUAUAGUCUCAACGA